rnacentral:rRNA from 1 species
ACGCCUAACACAUGCAAGUCGAACGCAGUAGCAAUACUGAGUGGCAAACGGGUGAGUAUAAUGUGGGAAUCUGCCUUUUGGUUUGGAAUAACACGGGGAAACUUGUGCUAAUACCGAAUAAGCCUUUACAGGGAAAGUUUUAAUGCCGAAAGAUGAGCCCGCACUUGAUUAGCUAGUUGGUAAGGUAAAAGCUUACCAAGGCAAUGAUCAAUAGCUGUUCUUAGAGGAAGACCAGCCACAUUGGGACUGAGACACGGCCCAGACUCCUACGGGAGGCAGCAGUGGGGAAUCUUGCACAAUGGGGGAAACCCUGAUGCAGCGAUGCCGCGUGAGUGAAGAAGGCCUUUGGGUUGUAAAACUCUUUCGUCGGGGAAGAAAAUGACUGUACCCGAAUAAGAAGGUCCGGCUAACUUCGUGCCAGCAGCCGCGGUAAUACGAAGGGACCUAGCGUAGUUCGGAAUUACUGGGCUUAAAGAGCUCGUAGGUGGUUAAAAAAGUUGAUGGUGAAAUCCCAAGGCUCAACCUUGGAACUGCCAUCAAAACUUUUUAGCUAGAGUGUGAUAGAGGUAAGUGGAAUUUCUAGUGUAGAGGUGAAAUUCGUAGAUAUUAGAAAGAACACCAAAUGCGAAGGCAACUUACUGGGUCACUACUGACACUGAGGAGCGAAAGCAUGGGUAGCGAAGAGGAUUAGAUACCCUCGUAGUCCAUGCCGUAAACGAUGUGUGCUAGACGUUGGAAAUAUAUUUUUCAGUGUCGCAGCGAAAGCAUUAAGCACACCGCCUGGGGAGUACGACC